CCCUUCUCUUUAAAGCACCCUGCUAAAACUGCAGGAGCCAAGCCUCUCAGGCUUAGCUCAUGUGGCCAUGUAAGCAUGGGUACACCAGGGAAGGAGAACAAAGGCACAGUAUCGGAAAUGAGGCUUGGAGGGACCUCUUUCUUAAUGUCCAGUUUCCUUUGUCUCAAGAUCCUGUGUUACACAU
ensembl:snoRNA